GACGAACGCUGGCGGCGUGCUUAACACAUGCAAGUCGACAUGAGUGGCGAACGGGUGAGUAAUACGUGGGUAACCUGCCCUCCUGUGUGGGAUAAGCUAUGGAAACGGGGUCUAAUACCACACCAAGGGGGAUGGGCUCGCGGCCUAUCAGCGUGUUGGUGGGGUGAUGGAAUACCAAGGCGGUGACGGGGAGCGGGCGUGAGAGGGUGACCGGCAACGUGGGGACGGCGAUGCGGCCCAGACUCCGACGGGAGGCAGCAGUGGGGGAGAUUGCAGAAUGGUCGAACGCCUGAUGCAGCGACGCCGCGUGGGGGAUGAAGGUUUUAGGGUUGUAAACCUCUUUCGCUAUCGAGCGGGUAGGUGGAGAAGAAGCGCCGGCUAACUACGUGCCAGCCGCCGCGGUAAUAC
rnacentral:rRNA from 1 species